rnacentral:rRNA from 1 species
CUGCUCAUGAACAUUAAAUAGCCGCAAUAGUGCUAAGGUAGCAUAAUCAUUUGUCUUAUAAUUAAAGACUAGAACAAAAGAUUUAACAUUCCAAUUAAUAUCAUUAAUAUAAUUAUCAAAAUUAACUUUAAUGUUAAAAGACAUUAAUUCUUAAGAAAGACGAUAAGACCCUUUUGAACUUAACUUAAGUUAAACUGGGGCAGUUCAUUAAUUAUUAUUUUACUAUUAAAAUAUAAAAGCAUCUAGCUAUUAUUAAUAAUAAACCAGUUACCAUAGGGAUAACAGCGUAAUAUUUAUUUUAAGUCCUCAUAUAAAUAUAAGAUUACGACCUCGAUGUUGAAUUUAUAACCUAUUAUAAGCAAAAAUCUAAAAAGGAAGUCUGUUCGACCUUUAAAAAAUAACGUGAUCUGAGUUCAG